GACGAACGCUGGCGGCGUGCUUAACACAUGCAAGUCGAGCGAGACCUCACCUUCGGGUGGGUGUUCUAGCGGCGAACGGGUGAGUAACACGUGGGCAACCUGCCCUCAGCUCUGGGAUAACUCCAAGAAAUUGGGGCUAAUACCGGAUAUGACCGCUGACCGCAUGGUCUGGUGGUGGAAAGAUUUAUCGGCUGGGGAUGGGCCCGCGGCCUAUCAGCUUGUUGGUGGGGUAGUGGCCUACCAAGGCGACGACGGGUAGCCGGCCUGAGAGGGUGACCGGCCACACUGGGACUGAGACACGGCCCAGACUCCUACGGGAGGCAGCAGUGGGGAAUAUUGCGCAAUGGGCGGAAGCCUGACGCAGCGACGCCGCGUGGAGGACGAAGUCC
rnacentral:rRNA from 1 species